rnacentral:sRNA from 1 species
CAUCACACAAGAGCACAUAUAAUGGGCGCCAACGAGUCUGCAUUACACGGAGAAGACGAAGCAACUGUUCCCGUUAGACGUCGUGCACACACAUCGUACACCAGAAGUGCACCGGACUACUUUGGAAGCCCAAGUUCUAUCAAAAACUUCAGUAACAACAUGAACAAUAACAAUAAUAAUAAUGAUGAGAAGCACAAGAACUCGAAUGUAAUUCUCACCGAAUUCGACGUGAAACAGAUGAUGGCUCGCAGUCGUGCUGAUACAGUUUGUGUUUCAUCGCUGCGCCGUCAAUCUUCAGAGGAAGCGGAGAAAAGUAUUUUGGAGACAGUCAGACAGACUGGAAGUGACGGUGAAGAAGAAGCAUCAGGAAUGUCGAAAAAGGGAAGUAUCACAUCGAGAAAAUCAUCUGGAUCACACGAUUCUGGAGUCGGAACUCGACCAAAUUCACCAAUCGCAUCGAAUCUUCAUAUGCCAUCUUCAUCGAAUAAUGAUGAAGUUAUUGAAUUCAAAGUUCCUGAAAUCACAGUAUCUCUUGCCGAGGAUACGAGCAAUAGUGAGGAACAAAAAAAGAAGCGUAAUAUCAAGAGAGCAAUUAUGAAGAAAGUAUUUAAAAAGAAGAGUGCGAAAGCUAUUGAGAUGAGGACAAGAUCGAAAUCACUUGGAUCAAAUGCGAUUUACAGUAG